GCCGAGGUAGCUCAGCAGGUUGAGCAGCUGUCUCGUAAACAGCAAGUCGCUGGUUCGAUCACAGUGACGGCG
rnacentral:tRNA from 1 species